ACUGCUCAGUAACACGUGGAUAACCUGCCCUUGGGUCCGGCAUAACCCCGGGAAACUGGGGAUAAUUCCGGAUAACGCACAUAUGCUGGAAUGCUUUAUGCGUAAAAUGGAUUCGUCUGCCCAAGGAUGGGUCUGCGGCCUAUCAGGUAGUAGUGGGUGUAAUGUACCUACUAGCCAACAACGGGUACGGGUUGUGAGAGCAAGAGCCCGGAGAUGGAUUCUGAGACAUGAAUCCAGGCCCUACGGGGCGCAGCAGGCGCGAAAACUUUACAAUGCGGGAAACCGUGAUAAGGGGACACCGAGUGCUAGCAUCAUAUGCUGGCUGUCCAGGUGUGUAAAAUACACCUGUUAGCAAGGGCCGGGCAAGACCGGUGCCAGCCGCCGCGGUAACACCGGCGGCCCGAGUGGUGAUCGUGAUUAUUGGGUCUAAAGGGUCCGUAGCCGGUUUGGUCAGUCCUCCGGGAAAUCUGACGGCUCAACCGUUAGGCUUUCGGGGGAUACUGCCAGGCUUGGAACCGGGAGAGGUAAGAGGUACUACAGGGGUAGGAGUGAAAUCUUGUAAUCCCUGUGGGACCACCUGUGGCGAAGGCGUCUUACCAGAACGGGUUCGACGGUGAGGGACGAAAGCUGGGGGCACGAACCGGAUUAGAUACCCGGGUAGUCCCAGCCGUAAACGAUGCUCGCUAGGUGUCAGGCAUGGCGCGACCGUGUCUGGUGCCGCAGGGAAGCCGUGAAGCGAGCCACCUGGGAAGUACGGCCGCAAGGCUGAAACUUAAAGGAAUUGGCGGGGGAGCAC
rnacentral:rRNA from 1 species